rnacentral:lncRNA from 1 species
UAAAAUACUGAAUUUUAUUUCUGGAAACAUAAGUAGUUACAUUUACAUUAUGUGUAGCACGCUCUCUUUCCACAUGUCACCCAACUCCACACACCGAAUUCAGAGCAGAGUCACCUCGGAGAGUGGGGGCAUUGACUUGAGGAAAAGGAUGGAAGCGUUUCAAUGUAUAUGUGAUGAUGCCUUGUGUAUUUCAGAAAAUAAAGAAGUGUGGAAAAAUACUGUGUUUGGGAUUUAGGUGGUGAGUACGUAGAGGCUCUAUGUUGUUCUCUGUACUAUUCUGUGAGUUCUAACCAAGAAUAAAUAAAUAACAAAUUACUGUUAUUUAUUGACAGCAGGGGCUGUCACUGCUGGGGUGUCAGUGCCAGGGGUGUCAGUGCUGGGGAUGUCAGUGUUGGGGUGUCAGUGCUGGGAGUCUCAGUGUUGGGGAUGCCAUUGGGGGUGUCAGUGCUGGGAGUGUCAGUGCAGGGCUG